AGCUUUGUGCAGUGGCAGUAUCAUAGCCAAUGAGGUUUAUCCAAGGCGCGAUUAUUGCUAAUUGAAAAACACAUUUG
rnacentral:snRNA from 1 species